rnacentral:rRNA from 1 species
UAGACGCGAAACCUAGUGAUCUAGGCCUGUCCAGGCUGAAGCUGAGGUAAGACUCAGUGGAGGGCCGAACUCACCGCCGUUGAAAAGUUGGGAGAUGAGGCAGGUCUAGGGGUGAAAAGCCAAUCGAACUAGGAGAUAGCUCGUUCUCUCCGAAAUGCAUUUAGGUGCAGCCUUGGCAUGAAGAUAUGCGGGGGUAGAGCUCUGUAUGGUCUAGGGGGCGUACUGCUUACCGAAAUCAAGCAAACUGCGAAUACCGCAUAUUAAUAGCCAGGAGUGAGUCCGUGGAUGACAAGGUCCUCGGACGAGAGGGGAACAGCCCAGACCGCCAGCUAAGGUCCCUAAUUAUGUCUAAGUGGGAAAGGAGGUGGAUAUUCACAGACAACCAGGAGGUUGGCUUAGAAGCAGCCAUGCCUUGAAAGAGUGCGUAAUAGCUCACUGGUCGAGAGUAUCUGCGCCGAAGAUGUAACGGGGCUAAGACAUAAACCGAAGCUGCGGAGGCGUGCUUGCACGCCUGGUAGGAGAGCGUUCUGUAGGCCGUUGAAGGAAUGCCGCAAGGCCAUUCUGGAGGUAUCAGAAGUGAGAAUGCAGGAAUGAGUAGCGAGAAGGCGGGCGAGAAUCCCGCCGGCCGGAAGUCCAAGGUUUCCAGGGGAAGGUUUGUCCGCCCUGGGGGAGUCGGGACCUAAGCAUAAGCAAAAAUGUGAUGGCGAAUGGAAAACAGGUUAAUAUUCCUGUACCGCUGUUAUCGCCUGAGAGACGGAGUGACGCAGGAAGGUAUGCGGGAAGGCUGACGGAAUAGCCUUUCUAAGGGCGUAGCAUGGGCAUGCAGGAAAAUCCGCAUGCCUAAAUGUGAGACCUGACGGGUAAGUGCAUCUUGCAUAAGCCGCAGAUCCUACACUGCCGAGAAAAACUUCUAUCGAUGAGAACCAGCGCCCGUACUGUAAACCGACACAGGUGGACAGAGUGAGAAACUUAAGGCCGACAGGAUAACUCUAGCUAAGGAACUCUGCAAAAUGGCCCCGUAACUUCGGGAGAAGGGGUGCCUGACAUACCUGAAGGGAGAGACGCCCUGAGGGGAAACAGGCCGCAGUGAAGAGUCCCAAGCAACUGUUUACCAAAAACACAGGUCUAUGCUAAGCUGAAAGGCGACGUAUAUGGGCUGACACCUGCCCAGUGCCGGAAGGUUAAGAGGAGGAUUGAGAGAUUCGAAUUGAAGCCCCGGUGAACGGCGGCCGUAACUAUAACGGUCCUAAGGUAGCGAAAUUCCUUGUCGGGUAAGUUCCGACCUGCACGAAUGGUGAAAUGAUUUGGGAGCUGUCUUGGCUGGAGACCUGGUGAAGUUGUAAUGCCGGUGAAGAUACCGGCUACCUGCAGUAGGACGGAAAGACCCCGUGGAGCUUUACUGCAGUCUGGCAUUGGGUUUUGGCUGUGUGUGUAUAGGAUAGUUGGGAGACUGUGAAGCUGAGGCGUCAGUUUCAGCCGAGUCGCCGUUGGAAUACCAACCAUAUGCCGUUGAAAUUCUAAUCUGGUAACGGAGACAGUGCUAGAUGGGCAGUUUGACUGGGGCGGUCGCCUCCCAAAGAGUAACGGAGGCGUUCAAAGGUUCCCUCAGGCUGGAUGGAAAUCAGCCUAAGAGUGCAAACGCAUAAGGGAGCUUGACUGCAAGACUGACGGGUCGAGCAGGCACGAAAGUGGGAGUUAGUGAUCCGGCGGUUCCGUAUGGAAGGACCGUCGCUCAACGGAUAAAAGCUACCCCGGGGAUAACAGGCUGAUACUUCCCAAGAGUCCAUAUCGACGGAAGUGUUUGGCACCUCGAUGUCGGCUCGUCUCAUCCUGGGGCUGGAGAAGGUCCCAAGGGGUGGGCUGUUCGCCCAUUAAAGUGGCACGCGAGCUGGGUUCAGAACGUCGUGAGACAGUUCGGUCCCUAUCCACUGCAGGCGUUAGAAUAUUGAAGAGAUCUGUCCUUAGUACGAGAGGACCGGGAUGGACAAACCUCUGAUGUACCGGUUGUUACGCCAGUAGCAUGGCCGGGUAGUCACGUUUGGAAGGGAUAAUCGCUGAAAGCAUCUAAGUGAGAAGCCCACUUUAAGAUGAGUGUUCUUUUAAGUAACCAUCGAGAACAGGUGGUGAUAGGCUGGAGGUGUAAGUAUGGUAACAUAUUUAGCUGACCGGUACUAAUAUUACGUAAGCUUUUUAA